rnacentral:lncRNA from 1 species
GAAAUAUUGGUAAAAAUAUUUUCUCAGAUACAAAGACUAAUAUUCUUUUACCACUCCUAGAUUUUUAAUAUAUACUUAAAAUAAUAAUAUAGAGCAUAUUAAUUAUGUCAUGAUAUGCAUCUUUGGCCACAGUAGGUUACAUGGUUUAGAGUAUUUUUUUUCAAUUAAAUAGUUUUUACUUAUUUUAAUAUGUACAUGUAUCAGUUAAAACUUUUGAGCAACUUCCCACGUGUGUUUAUAUAUAGCAAUUCUCUAUUGACAAUGUAUAUACAUCAUAAAACAAAAAAGUUCAGUGGCUGUGACAUAUCUACCAUUUCCUUGCAUGAACUAUUUGGGGUCCUGUCCAAGGGCACCCCCUCUCUGCAUAAAUUCCAGUCCCCCUCACAUAUUCUGAGCAUUGUCCUAGCACUUGCCCUUCUUCUUGUGACACUAAUUUUCCCUCUCCUGGAUCAUUUCCAUAGAUUAUUGUUUUCUCUUAAAAAAAAAAAUCCACCUUUACCUGUCUCAGCUUCUGCCCCUCAAAGAGUUUCCUGCUUCUGUUGCAGUUGAAUUCCCUCUCCAAUCCCACCACUGCAGAUGAAAGCUCUUGUGACAAGGUCACAGUGAGCUCUGUGUUACUAAGUCUGCUUUUUCUUAUUGUUCAUCCUGGUAGCUGUUCAGCAGUGUUUUUGGCACAGCUGGUCACACCCUUCUUCCUUGGCUUCCAGGGUGUAUACUUGUGGUUUCCCACUUGGUACAUUGGCUGUCCUUCUCAGCUUCUCAUCUACUUGACCUCUGAACCAGAGAAGGUCAUGAGAAGGCCCUGCGUAUCUCCUCUCCAUCUUCUUUCAUCCCUACUGUGAUCCUUUCCUGUCUCAUAGCUUAAAUACCAUCUCUAAGGAUGAUUUCUAGAAUUUGCUUUAGAUUAAUCCUAGGAGAAAAAUAAGAUUGACCAUGAGUUAGUCGUUGUUGAAGCUGAGUGAUGGGUACCUGGGAUUUGCUAUACUGUUCUCUUUAGUUUUACGUAUGUUGAAAAUUUUUCCUAGUGGAAAGUUAAGUCUGUGCUGGUGAUCCCCAAUUAUUUUUCACCAGCUCAGACUCUCUCCUGAAUUGAUCCUGCAUCUGCCUAGUUAACAUUUAACUGUUGGUGUUAAUAGAUGGGUAGCACCGAGCUUGUCCAAAAUGGAACUUCUGAUUUUCCUGCUCAGAUAUGUUCUUUCUACAGUCUCCCUAACCUAGUUAUGGGAAUGCUGUCCUUCCAGUAUCUCAUCCCAAACACCUUUGCUUGACUUCUCUUUCCAGUCAUCCUUCAUCACAUCCUUCACAAAUCUUGUUGACUCCAUCUGCAAAGUGUAUUUAGAAUCUGAUCUAUCAGAACUGCUUCCACUGCUGCUACUCUGGUUCAGACCGAUGUCAUCUCUCAUCUGCUUCUCCUUUCCCUCUUACAGGUUGGAUUUCCCACAGCAGCCAGAAUGAUCCCAUGAAACAAAAGUCGUAUCAUGCCCUGCUGUACUCAAAACCCACAGUGGCUUCCUCACUCAGUAAAAGCCAUGGUCAUUACUGUGGUCGGUCGGACUCUAUAGGUCAUGUUAGCAUUGUCCAAAGGAAAUAUGAGCUACAUAGGAGAGCCACAUUGGUAAUUUAAAUUUUUCUUGUAAAGGACAAAUGAAAGAAAAGUGAAACUGUUAAAAUUAAUUUUAAUAAUGCAUUUUAUUGAACCUAGCAUGUCAAAAAUAUUUUCGGUUCUGAGAUCCCUUACACUGUUUUACAGCUUGUACUAAAGUCACACUCAGAAUAUCCCAGUUUAUACCAGCUGUGUUUCAGGUGCUCAGCAGCCUCACUUGGCUAGUGACUGUCAUUUUGGACAAACCCAGAUCUGUAAAAUCUGGCCCUCCUUUGCCUCUGUGUCCUUAUCUCCUCUGCUCUUCCGUUGCACUUUGCUUCAGUAUCAUGGGCCUCCUUGUUCUUCCUCAUAGAAACUCAGCAUUUAUUGUUUUAGGACCUUUACAUCUCCAGGUGCUCCACUUGUCUUUGCUCAGGUGGUACCUUUCCAGUGGGCGUAUCUUCACCCCGACAUUUUCUAGCACUUCCUGCAUCCCUUCAUACAGUGAUUGUUCUCCAUCGCCAUUUAACAUACUAUAUUAAUUUCUAUUAGUAUAUUUUAUCUCUCUUCACACUGAAGUAUGAGCUCCCUGAGAAUGAUGAUUUUUGUAACUUUUGUCCUUUGCUGUAUUCCAGAGCAUAGAAUAGUGCCAGGCACAUAUGACAGAGGAUAGAGAUUUGUUAAAAAAUGAAAUGAAAUGAAUUAUUAAGAAUUAUUGGGCUGGGGAUGUGGCUCAAGCAGUAGCAAGCUCUCCUGGCAUGCGCGGGGUGCUGGGUUCGAUCCUCAGCACCAUAUAAAAAUAAAAUAAAAAAGAUGUUGUGUCCACCGAAAACUAAAAAGUAAAUAUUAAAAAAUUCUCUCUUUCUCUCUCUCUCUCUUUAAAAAAAUAAAAAAGAAUUAUUAGUAACAAAAGCUGUGCAUGGUGGUGCAUGCCUAUAAUCCCAGCAGCUCAGGAGGCUGAGGCAGGAGGAAUGUGAGUUCAAAGCCAUCCUCAGCAACUUAGCAAGGCCUUAAGCAACUUGGUGCUGGGGAUGUGGCUCAGUGGUUAAGUACCCCUGGGUUCAAUCCCGG